AUUGAACGCUGGCGGCAGGCCUAACACAUGCGAGUCGAGCGGAUGAAGGGAGCUUGCUCCUGGAUUCAGCAGCGGACGGGUGAGUAAUGCCUAGGAAUCUGCCUGGUAGUGGGGGAUAACGUCCGGAAACGGGCGCUAAUACCGCAUACGUCCUGAGGGAGAAAGUGGGGGAUCUUCGGACCUCACGCUAUCAGAUGAGCCUAGGUCGGAUUAGCUAGUUGGUGGGGUAAAGGCCUACCAAGGCGACGAUCCGUAACUGGUCUGAGAGGAUGAUCAGUCACACUGGAACUGAGACACGGUCCAGACUCCUACGGGAGGCAGCAGUGGGGAAUAUUGGACAAUGGGCGAAAGCCUGAUCCAGCCAUGCCGCGUGUGUGAAGAAGGUCUUCGGAUUGUAAAGCACUUUAAGUUGGGAGGAAGGGCAGUAAGUUAAUACCUUGCUGUUUUGACGUUACCAACAGAAUAAGCACCGGCUAACUUCGUG
rnacentral:rRNA from 1 species